GUUAUGUAAGAUUCUCUAUUUCUGUAUGUUUCCAAGCACAGCUACCCCUGCUUUGUAAUAGGAUGGUUGCAGAUGACAGUGUACUCUAAAGGCAGCUAGCCUUACACCCACAGUCCUGCGAGAAGAUGCUCUCACCUGUACAAAUGGCAGCUAUUAAAAGUGAAUACUGGCCAGAUCAGCAAUAAUUCCUGUGCUUUUUGGAAUCAUAACUCACUACAGAGCUUAUUAUAUACAUAUAGUUGACUCAUUAUGCCACUGUGCCUUAUAAAAAUAAGCCGAAUUACUUUAUUGGAGAAUGGUAUACAUUUAUCCAGAACUCAUGGCUGAUUAGUCAAGAACAAAGAAGCACUUCAGCAGAGACCAAAGCUAAUAUCUGUUUAUUGGCGGAAGAUGUCUUUCUGGAGAUGCUUUCAGAGUCUCAGUGAUGGUGAUAUUCUCUAGAGCCAAUCUGUCUUCUGUCAGAGUUUGUUUUUGCUUAAGGUUGGGAUUGAUGUGUAUGGUGUGUAUCGCAGCAGUUCUGUUUUGAUUAGAAUGAGUGUGGGGGAAACUCUUUGUACUUGCAGGCUGCGUUAUUAAGGUGUGAUGAUUCAUACUGAUAGAUUUGGGCAUCGUCUGAACUGUAAGGCUUUUCUCAGGGGAAAUCUGAGAUAGCAAGGUAAAUUAAUGCUUUCUUUGCAGAUUCAUUAUACAAAAUUAUGCUUAAUUAAGAAGAGUAGUUUACUGUAGCUUACUCCAAAAGAUCCAGAGCUCCCUGUGGGUUUCUUGAGAUAUCAUUAGGUUGGAGAAUAUUGACAGUGCUGGCGGGGUUUGCUGGUGGAUAUUCUUGGCAGGGUGAGAACUUCAGAGCCAUUUAGAGGGAAGGAAGGGCUAAGAGAGAACCCAGAGACUGGAAGGUCAAAUAAAAUGUUUAUGUAGGCAUUCAGAGUGUACAGUCACCGUGGAAGAUUACAUAUACAUACAUACAUAUAUAUAUAUUUACAAUUUAUAGAAUAAAUAAGUAAAUUGAGAUCUUUCUUCCGUAUUCAGAAGACUGUAGGGAUCUGUCUAACCAUGGAGAACAUAUAGGAGCUACUUACAGUGCACUGAGAACAAAGGGAUUAGCUUCAAGUGUUGCUGAACAAAUUUGUUACCAGAAACUCUCAACUGAGUGUAAGUCUGGAAUGCAUCCAUUCUCUCAGUAUUGGGGUAGUGUAAUUAUUUGUUUAAGAGGUAUUCAUGUGUUUACUGCCUUUACUGAAGCUGAUGUUUGCUUUGUAGAGACCUACAGGUAGAUAUGGACUCUUUGUGAAAUCUUGGGCACAGCCAUGCGUGAAUGAGGGACGCUUUUCCUUCAGUGAGCCAACAGCAUACGUUCUCAGAAACUAUUUGAAGUAUGCUGGGCAGCACAUUUCAUGCAAAAGAAAAGACUAUCAGGUACAUACUUGUGCCUGUGUGGACAGUCGUUUUACCUAACAGUGGUACCGUAGCACAAUCCACAUGUGGAUAUUCUGAGAAAUAAGCAAUUUAUUUGUUAUGAUGUAGCAGAUUUUUUCAGAUUCUUUGUCUCCAUUUUUGCAACCAUCAGUUAUUUCAUUUACUAUUUAUUAGGUGUAUUACAAAUGGCAGCAUUUUGUUAUUUUAUCAGGCUAGGGUUUUCUUUUUAUCCAGCUUUCAUAUUCUGCUGUUUCCCUUACUGCCUUUGGGAUUUUUCUGGAUAUGUCUCAUUCCUUAUGUCUCUUACUAGUAUUCAUGGUAAUUAAAAAUGUGUAAGAAAGGACUGUUUGAAUCCAGUCUGCCCUUGUAGGAACACUAGGAGAUGAGACUCUGAAGCUGGUAGUAAAUAACAGUGGGUUUUUUUUCAGAAACUUAAAGACUGAACUUGGCAGUGUGCUCCAGUGUCUGAUUUCUCUCUUUCCUGCUUUUUAAUAGGAUAGCAGUCACAUAUGUUCUGCGUGACUUCUGUACGUUGUUAGACUUGAUUUUCUGUCAUUGCUCUGAUAUGCUGCUGCUCCUGCAGUCAGUUCUGCUGUUGUUAUCUCCUUCGUUUUGUUCCCUGGGGUUGUUAUUUCUGCAGGUUUUGGGUACCUGCAUUUAUGACAUUUCUCAAGUGUAUUUCAGGGGGUGUAUUUUAGCGCAAGUCGGUGGGGUGGAGUAAUAGUUUGUCAUUUGAUACGCUGAUUUUGGCAGAGUUCUCUGAGCAUGAAACUAUAAUAGACUGGAUAUUAAGGAGCAACGUUGAAGUUUCCUCAUGUACUAUGAAAUGAUGUUUGUGUGAACUGUUAGAAUCCAGUUUCUCAAGCUGUGCUGAGCUGAAGAUGCUAAGCUUCACCUCCUUUUCUUCUAAGUAGAGAGACAACGUGAGCAAGUGUUUUGGAGGGACUGAAAGUGUAUUCUUGCCUCUGCCACUGAGUUGAGACUGCUCAAUUGGCUUAAUCAAAACUUUGUUUCUUUUUCUACUGUACUCCUGAGUGCACUCUUUAAAAAAGCAUCUGGGAGAUGGAUGUGUUUUACUUUAUGUUCAGUACAGACAGCAGCAACUGGACCGAAUGUAGGUGGUGAAACUCCGGAGAGCGACACAGAAACUCUACAGAUACAGAGUGGUGGAUGAAUCCUGGAGGUGCAUUUUUAAAAAGAGCCAUGUCAGAAGUCUGUCGGGUGCUCCUCUGGUAACCUGAGAACAUUAAGAGAAGCACUCACUCUACAGAUACAGUGCAGCAGGGGUGAGCUUGCAUCUCUCUUCCUGCACGUAUCAGUCUGUCUUCAGGUAUGAGUUCUCUGCUCUGAGCUUAACAGGUUAUUUCUGUGAACUGCUUCUCUUUCAUUAUGAACUUAAUUGAGUAAUAAAGACAUUUUAAGGAGCAUGUAGAUUACUGAAUUAUAAGCAAUUUUGACUAUAAGACUCCACAUUUUUGCCAAGUAAAACGUACAGUAGUUAAAUCUCUGCCAAAUAUGUUGUUGCACUUUAUCAGGGCAGAUGCACAUUUUGGGCCAACCACUGUGAAAACUUAAAGAUCCGUUUGGAGAGCAGAUUAAGUAUUCAAACUGGCCCCGUGUUUUCACCGGCAAUGUGAUAAUAAAGAUAAACACUGUUGUUAUUGUUAAAGAUAUAUCCAUUUAUAAGUGAAAAAUAUUUCUUAGGGAAGAUAUUCUGAGAAAGAACAUUACGGAGCAUGGAUCUAUUUUUGUUGUUUGGGGUGGGAGGGUUAGUGGUUGGUGGCUUUUCUUCUGUUUUGUUUUGGGUUGGUUUUUUUUUUUUUUUGGCUUCCUUUCCUCUCCAUGUCUUUCUCCCUCCCUUUUCAGUUCCUGGCACUUAACCUUUCCUAGAGGAGGUUGAUGUGACAGCGCUGUUGUACUCACAGCAGCUCCUGUAAUGCUGAUCUCUGUUUUCAAGUAUCUCAAGCCCAAAGUAUUGCGGGUUUACAGAGUGUCACUACUUUUCAGGAUCAGAGGAGAGCAAGAACAGUAACCAAUUGAAAUCAAAUCCUGCCUGCAUUCUGAGGAGUGACGUUUUAGCAUGUGGUAUGUUGGCUGUCUCUAGGUAUCACGCAGCAAACUUGAGGUGCUUAAGAGUAUUCCCACUAGACCAUGAGGAAAGACAGUAUCUGUCCUGCAUACAUUAGCCUUGGCCAGUCCUGAAAUAAAACUUCCAAUCUGGAGACAGACAUUUUUAUAAUGAUAGUUGAAGAGAUCAGUACUGUAUUAGCAGGCUAUACUGAAUUUGUCCAGAUAGGUUUCUUGUGGAUACUUCACACUGUACCACUGUUAGAAGGUAUCUGCAAGUUAAAGUAGUUUCUAAUGGAGCACUGUUUCCCUAAAAGGAAUCUGUUCAGAUGAAGCAUAUUCUAAAAAGAGAUGAAAACAUUUAUUUGGGGUUUUUGUCUGUUUUUAGCAAAUAUCAUAACAAGUGGGAUUCCUCUGAAUAGGAAUGUACCUGUCUGUAUAGCAGCUAAUAUAAGAUAGCUCAUGGUUCAGUAUGGCACAGUAUAAAAGUUUAUUAAUUAUCAGUAUCAUCUGUAGACUUUUCAAAAGCAAUUGAUGUGUUACAGUGGUAUGGGAUUUCUUCCGUUGAUUCUUUAGAUGUUUUCUAGUCAGAGAGCCACAAGCCUUCUCUCCCUCUGCUUUAUGGCAUCCCUUGCAUCAGCACAAAGGCAGCAUGAAACACCCCCAGAUCCAAAACUCAUCUCCUGACACUGAGAGCAUGCUGGUUCUAACAGUAGGACGGUGAUCACUUGUGUGCAAGAGCAGCCUAAAGGCAUUGCUAAAAGAUGGUAAUCCAGGGCUACUGUUGGAUUUUGGUACAUUGUGAAAAUACUGCUCAAGUGUCAUGGGAGAAGUCUCAUUGCCUGGCAAGAUGGGGGCCUAAACUCGAAAGCAUGCAGCUGAGGAUGAAGGCCAUGAUAGUCUGUUUUUCAUCAAAGGCUUGAGAUCACAGCAGCAGCAUGGAGCUGGAAGAACAAAAGAAGUUUGGGGCUCUGAAACAAACUGGGAGGGUAAGACAAAAGUGCAGCUGAAGAACUUGGAGAGCCGCUUGAGAAGGAGGAAAAGAUCAGGGAAGGAGGAAGUACACGUCCCCAUGCAGGGGAUGUGGAGUUGCACUCUCAUCUUGUGUGCUGCAGGAAGAGCAUCCAGCUCCAAAGCUUAUACACCAUGGGCAAGACGAAGGAAAAUUCCAGUUCUGAAUUUGCAGCCAGAAUUCAGGAACCAGAGGAAGGCGCUCAGGAGGUCAUACCUUUCAGAAGAGGUGCUCCAGCCCUUAUGGUCACGUUGAUGAGGUGCUGAUGGAGAGGUGGCCAUGUCACACUGCUGCCUGGGCCAGGAGCAUCCUACAGGUUUACACCAAUGCAAAUUGCUCAUCUAGGACGGGUGUUCGGUUUUUGUUUUUUUCUGUGGAAAAACUGAAGUCAUAAAGCUACAGGAUAAACCAGCAGGCUUGCAUGAUCAUGGCAGUACCUGCCCUGUCCAGGCUGGCACAGAGGCACCCGGAGGAGCAGCAUCCCUUCACACCUCAUUUCUUCAGAAACGGGGUGAGCGUGGAAGAAAAGGGGACACCAUGGUGGCAGUGCAGAGCCAGGGCAGAGAACGUUUGCUGAUGCGUUUGUGCAGGAGAAUAUCGGUCUGUUUGGUCAAAUGGGCUUCUGCUGUACAUACAGUGCUGAUGGUGUCCUAAUGGAUGAAGUGGAAAAAUAUUCUUAAAGGGGUACUUUGGCAGACGCAGCCAUUUGGAGUACGGCCUCUCAUGGCUGCAGGCUUGCUGCAAGGUUUGCCUUUGUUUUAAUGAUAAUUCUGUAACAAGAUAUGAAGCUGACGUUUGUUUUACACUUUAUGUAAGUAUUUAAAAGAUCUGAGACCUAUUUUUGCUACGUAUAUGUUUUUUAAGCUUUAAGGCUGUGCCACUAAGAACACUUCAUCCAUCUUUUGUCAUUUUCUGAAACGUUACUAUUGUCAAAUUUAGAAUCCUUAACAGCAAUGAUGACGUUCCUCAUCUAAAAAAUCCUAAAGCAAAUGGAAGAAUUCCCUGGGAACCUGCAGACCACGUGCAUGAUACAAAACUACGAAAAUUAGUCCAAAGUUCUGAUAAAUAUUUAGCGCCAGCGAGAGCUAAUAUUUGUUCUAGUUCUAAACAGUGAGAUGUUUAUUAUAUACAGAACACUUGGGUAGAAUAUGGACAGUAUACAAAGGUGACUCAAGGCAUUUCACGGUCUGACUUGUUUGUACAGCAGCCCUCUUUUGCUUACGCAUAGGCUCGUGCGCCAUAUGGAAGGGAACAUUCCUCGUGGUUCGACGGGCACAAUCGUACCGUCUGCCAGCGGCCUUCUGCAGGCUGCACAGGAGCUGCAGGCAGGAUUGAGGGUUGGCUCCUGAGCUGUGCAGCAUGAUCAGGUGUCAGUUUACAUCAGGAUCCCCAUGAAGUGCCAGCAGCCCAGGACAGAGUUAUGACACAAAUCAAGGUGUUGGUUGAAGCUUUGCUCCAGGUGCCACUGCCAAGGUGAGAAUUUUCACAUGAGUCUGUGGUGCUUUCUUUAGCUCCUUGCUGCACUGUUCUUGUUGUCCCUCACAGCAAACAUAAAAUCCUGUCUCUUCUAACAAAAAAUGCUGUCUAUAAUAGAGGAGACUUCCAUUCCUAGAACACCUUAACGCUGACUUAGUCCAAAUGCCAAGCAUAGUUGGAACUAGAAACACUCAUCCUGUAUUUUAGUAUGACUUUGCAGAAGCUAAAAUUUGUCCUCAGAAAACGGUGGUGAAAAAACACAAAGCUAAUUCACUAGGAAGUGUGGUAAAGGACCCCAGCCUUCAUUUACAUUCUCCUUACGUUUCCAGCAGGCGCCCCAAAAGCACCAGUGGUUGGUUGCUUUUGUUUUUUAAAUAGCUAGGAAUAUGUCUCUAUUUCCUGAUUUCUCUGUGGCUGGGGCCUUCCCUGCUCACCUAGAGUUUGAGCAUUCCCUGAUCCUCGGGAUGAAUGAAACAAAGAGUUCAGGUCAGCAGCCCAGGCUGCCCACACUGGCUGGAAAAGUUCCCAGGCUGAUGGUUGUGUGAGGCUCUUGCUCUUGUUUACAAGCAUGGGGGUGGUCUCUAUAAAUCAUUUACUUAGAAAAAUGAAAAUAUGUUCAUAAUACACACUUAUCUAAAGAGCUGCUCUUAAAAAGAGAGACCUUAGGAAGCACCCUACCUCCAAGGAUCAGAGUGUUACACUUACCCUGUUCUCGUAUUUUUUUGCUAAGUAUAUUGCUUCCAUAGAACCACAGAAUGGCCCAGGUUGGAAGGGACCUUAAGGAUCAUGAAUCUCCAACCCCCCUGCCACAGACAGGGCCCCAUCCAACCUGGCCUUGAACACCUCCAGGGAUGGGGCAUCCACAACCUCUCUGGGCAGCCUGUUCCAGCACCUCACCGCUCUCAUAGUAAAGAAUUUCCCCCUGAAAUCCAACCUAAAUCUUCCCUCCUUCAACUUAAAAACCAUCUCCCCUUGUCCUGCUGUUAUCUACCCUUUCAAAGAGUCGAAAAGUUGUUCCCCUGCUAGAAAUGUCUGCAUUCUCAGUCUGGCAUUCAUUUACAGCCAGUUACCUGCAGUAAUUUCAGCCUUAAUUUUAGGACCAUUGUAAUGAGUGUGUGUUGGAGCCUGUUCCACCCUUAAAGCAUCCAUACCCUUUCUUCCGAUCUGAAACAGAAACUACCUUCAAAGAAAGCACAGCUUGAAGAAGUUGCUGACCUUGGGAUGCAUCAUUCUAAUCAGCCAGUGUUUCUAAGCUCUCCUGGUAUUAAAAGACAUCCCAUGAUACUUUAAGACAGCUGCUUUUGAUCACAUUAAACAAUUCUGUGUUAAUGGCAUCUUAGAUUUACCUCCUUAUUCAGAUCAGCAGCAGUUCAGCUGAAAAGCAAAACCACAGGCGGCUGCACAGGUAAGCAACCUGCAUUGCCAGAACUGACUGUUUGCACUAUCCCUGCCCUCUUUAACCAGUUAUUAAUCCACAAGGGAUGACUAUUCCUAUUCCACUGAUGCUGUAUUUUUCCAAAAGCAUCUUUCAUAAGCCAUCCUGAUACAGGCUACUUGGAAAUCCUUUGGCAGUAUGCCGUUGUCCUGUAGGUUGCUCUCACCAAUGUAAGUGGUUAUAAUAAAUUACAAGGCCAUAUGAGGUAGCUCAGUGCAGGCUAUUGUGUAGGUUUCUAUAUGUCUAGGUGAGUGCUCUGGGUUGGUUGAUUUGGGUUUGGUGUGUUAGUUUGUUUGGGAUUUUUUUUUGCACAGAACUAACUAGAAGUGUGAUUCCAUUGGCAAGGAUAAAUGGAGAAGUAAAAAAAGAGUCUGAAAGUGGACCCAGGAGGCAAAUAACUAAACGCUACACAAACCAAGUGUCUUCAGAUCUUCAUGGGGAAAAAAAACUACAGGCCAUGCAAUUGUACUCACACUCUUGAUGCCCAGUCCUCGCAGAGUUAUGUGUGUCUGCCUCCAGCCGUGGCCACCGUUCCUUCCCCACACAGCUGGUCCAUGAGCACCACUUCUCCUCACAAAGACUUGGAGGGCGCCCGAAUGCAGCCCAGGCACCUUAUGUCUGAAUGACAGGCACAAGUCCCCAGCCUGAGCCACGUGGCCCAGCGGCAGAAUAAGAUGUGCUGCUUUUCCCUCUGUGCCUUUGGGUUCAGAGAUGGUGAGAUAUCGUCCCCCUGAAAAACAAAAAGCAAUUCCUUCAUUACCAUUCUACUUAAAAUUUCAGGACCAAACGCAUAAGCACUGUGAAAGAAAUAAAACAGGGCUCCAGGAGGUCCAGCAAGUCUUCAGUAGAGAGUAUUAUAGCUGGAACAUGCACUGGAACUGCCACAUCUCCCUCCCACAAGCAUUUUACCACCCGAGAGCACUUUUCAUCCUCAGCCUCCAUCCGCUCACAUAAUGCCAACAUUGUGCACUUCAAAGGCUGCUCUUCCUCUUCGGGGAAUGAGGUAAUCUCAUGGUUACAGGCAGCCAGAGCUGUGUGUCUAAUCCCCCGGGCUGCGGCUCUCAGCCUCCUCCUGUCCUGCACAAGCCUAGUGCGCUGCCCCGCUUCAUUUCAGGGUCCCUUUUCCUUACCCUGUUCUCAGAAAUUGCUGUGCACUGGCAGCCUGACUUUGCUUCCUUACAGUUACUUAAUGGUGUUCCUAUACACAGCUCUCUGUAACAGCAUUGAAUUUCACAAAGAGAAACAGAUCACAUUAAAACAAGAGCAGUGUAAGUAACAGCAGAACAGACUAUUUGCAGCACUUUCUAAUUUUACCGGUAACAUGGAAAUCAUUACGUUUGCGUGGUUGGUUGAAAAAUAAGCUUUGUUUCUCCAUGAGUAAAAGUUGUUCUCUAGUCCACAUUUUUUUCCUUUCUGAUUCU